UUUAAAAUCUAAAAAUGAUAUAUACUUAUCCUAUAUUA
rnacentral:tRNA from 1 species